rnacentral:rRNA from 1 species
UACAGAGGGUGCGAGCGUUAAUCGGAAUUACUGGGCGUAAAGCGUGCGUAGACGGUCAUGUAAGUCGGAUGUGAAAGCCCCGGGCUCAACCUGGGAAUUGCACUCGAGACUGCAUGGCUUGGGUGCGGAAGAGGGAAGCGGAAUUUCCGGUGUAGCGGUGAAAUGCGUAGAUAUCGGAAGGAACACCAGUGGCGAAAGCGGCUUCCUGGUCCGACACCGACGUUCAGGCACGAAAGCGUGGGGAGCAAACAGG